CAGUAGCCGCGGUAAUACGUAGGGUGCAAGCGUUAAUCGGAAUUAUUGGGCGUAAAGCGAGUGCAGACGGUUACUUAAGCCAGAUGUGAAAUCCCCAAGCUUAACUUGGGACGUGCAUUUGAAACUGGGUGACUAGAGUGUGUCAGAGGGAGGUAGAAUUCCACAUGUAGCGGUGGAAUGCGUAGAGAUGUGGAGGAAUACCGAUGGCGAAGGCAGCCUCCUGGGAUAACACUGACGUUGAGGCUCGAAAGCGUGGGGAGCAAACAGGAUUAGAUACCCGCGUAGUCCCUGUCUCUUAUAC
rnacentral:rRNA from 1 species